GCCCACCACAUCCUUUCCAUCCCGUGAGAGAGGCAGGGAGAGGCAGCGAGCGGAGCAGACAACAGAGGACGCUGCGACCUGCUCCCGCUAGGGCUCGCGCUCGGCCGUCGGCCCACCGUUGCUCGCCGCGACCGCCGGUCCUCCCCGGCUCCCCUCGCCCCAUCUGGCUCCGGCACCCCGGCCAUCUGCCCUCCGCGGCUCCGCCCCUCCGGCCUUUCCCCGUUCCGGCGCUGCCUGCCCAGCCGUGGAGCCGCCGCCACUGCCUCCGGUUCUCCCGCUCCGACUCUGCGUCGCUGCUCGCCCAAGGCAGAGCCACUGGUUGGUUGUGGGUGAGUUGCUUGCAUCUGGUUGCUUGGUGGAUGAGUUUCUGUUUGGAUCUCGUUUGCAGAUUUUGCAGCUACAGCUUUGUAGUGACAUUAUGUUUUGAUUGUAGUACAUCUGAAGAUGAAGAGGAAUGGUGACAUUAAGUCAUUUUUUUCAAAAUUAUGAGGCAAAAACAAGAAAGGUUGCAGCCCAAGAGCAACAUGAACCUGAUAUUGAUCCACCACCACUGCCUCCACUCCAUUUGGAUUCAGAGAUUGACACUGAUAUUUAUUCACCUCCGGUCCAUUCCAAUCUAGAGAUUGACAUUGAUAUUGAUGAUGAAGCGCCACGACAACCAUCAGUUCAACAUCCAAAUGCAAGAUCAUAUAAUAUUCAAAGGCUUCCAACUGAUCCAGGGGAAAGGAUUCCUAUUUCAGAGUAUAAUUCUUGAGGUACUUGACGCCAUUGGAAAAGAUCCUUCACAAAAAGGUGAGUGGACAAGAAUACGUGGAGUUACUCAAGCCAUUGAAUCAUUUGACUUUGUUUUCAAUCUUCACUUCAUGCUUGUUAUUCUUGGCUAUACAAAUGAGUUGUCCAAAUCUUUGCAAAAGAGAGAUCAAGAUAUUGUUAAUGCAAUGGUACUUGUUAGUUUGGCAAAGAGUAGAAUGCAACACAUGAGGUCUCAUGGUUGGGAAGAAUUUCUUGCAAAGCUAACCCUAUUUUGCAACAAACAUGACAUUCAAGUUCCUUUAUGGGAGGAUACUUAUGAGCAUCAUGGAAGAUCACAUUGGUAUUAUGUAGUACAAACAAAUGAUGAUCGUUAUAGAAGAGAAGUAUAUCUUGGUGUCAUUGACCAAACCAUUCAAGAGCUUAACAACCGGUUUGAUGAGGUUAAUACGGAGUUGCUUAUUUGCAUGUCGGCUUUGAAUCCCCUCAAUUCAUUUGCUUAUUGUGAUGCAUUCAAGGUGAUGAAACUUGCUGAAUUCUAUCCCAUGGACAUAUCAAGCACGGAUUUGAUAAGGCUAGAAUUUCAACUUGAUACUUUUAUUGAUGAUAUGAGACAAGAUGAUAGGUUUAGAAAUGCAAGUAAUAUUGGUGAGCUCUGUAUUUUGCGUGUUGCAACAAAGAAGCAUGUUCUUUAUGAUUUGGUCUACUUACUCAUCAAAUUGAUAUUGACUUUAUCGGUGGUAACGGCGAGUGCUGGAAGGGUAUUUUCUGCAAUGAAUCUAGUGAAAAAUAAAUUAAGGACUAGUAUGGGUGAUGAUCACUUGAAUAAUUGCCUGGCCGACAGAUGCUUUCGGUAGAAAUGUCAAGUCAUGCCUGGCCGACAAGUGUUACGUUGUGUCGUGCCUCGUCGGCAGGUGCUAUGCACGACAUGUCUUCCGAAAUCUUCGCGUCUGGACGGACAACGUGGGGCGGUAGCGCCUCUUGGCGUCGUGGUGCCGUCGACGGAUGGAUGGACUCGCAAGGAUAAUGCAGAUCUCUUUUUUAAAGAUGGGUCAGCGAUUCGAUGAUGAUGGCGGCAUCUACAACGUGUGCAUGUGGUGUACGCUUUAGGUCUGCUGCAUCGGUUGUGGGUUCUGAUACGUUAUGUGGAUGGAUCGACGACGGCACCGGUUUUAGAUAUGAGGAGUAAGAGCACUCCAUAUUAUCGAAUUUUGUAAGUGUGAAUGGUGGCUUCGGAUGGUUUGAUGUAUGUUUUUGUUAGACCUAUGUUAAACAAUAAAUAAAGAUGGUUGUAUGCAUCGAUUGAUGGAGAGGCCAUGAGUUUUAAC
rnacentral:lncRNA from 1 species